rnacentral:lncRNA from 10 species
GUUUAUCAUUGGCCCUACAAUUUUCUAGGAGUAAUAUCUUUUUGGAAUUAUGUAAUGUCCUCUGCUAAUGACAGUGUAUAGAUGCUAUUACAUUUCCUUGGGGGACAAAGUACUGUUGUCUGGAAGCUUUGAGAUUAAUGUAACACAAAGUAAAUAAGGAAGCGUUUUGCAUAUUCUUAGAUUUUUACAUUUUUAUUUUAAAACAGAGAAUUUCAUAUUGAUUAACACCUACUACUAAACAGAAUGAUGCAUUAAUUAAAUGCCUUGUCCUAACUGUUAUAAGCUCUGUUAGAAAAAUAAACAUCUCACCACAAACUACAGUGUCAGCUCUUUAAUAAAUACAUAAAACAGAAGUUAGUAGUCAAUCAGAGUUAUAUGAACAGGUUCAUAGUAUAUUAUGUGAAAGUAUCAUAUUCUCCAAUAUUCUGUAUCAUUUAAGACAAUUUAAGUUACGUAUAAUUCAAAGCCAGAAAUAAUAAGAAAUAGUCGUUACAUAAGCUUGAAGUUAAAGUGAUCAGAGCCAAGGGGGAAAAACCCACAAAUGAUAAAGAAGAAUAAAAAGUAAGAGGACUCUAGAAGAAAGUUGUUUUUCACAGCACUGAUUGUUUUUAUCAUAUUUUUCUCCUGCCAUUGAUACAAGACAUGUAAGAUGCUGCAAAACCUAACUAUGACAGUUCCAUGUAAUAUUUUUCCAGUUAAUUUUGUUUAAAAGUGAGAUGAUAAUAUAAAAGGAUCUCAUAUAAUAGAAUAAAAAUAAUAAAAAUUUGUUAAUGAAACGUAGACAUACCUACCCAUUCUUGUUAGUUAAGUUAGGGUUUGCUGAAAUCAUUCGCACUCACGUAAAGUAUAAAUGGGGACCUGAAAGAGCUUUUGUAAACUCAAGAUAUGCGGGAUCUGAGCUGAUAAUCAGUUAGGCUCCAUGUUGAGUUGUGCGUGACUCAGUUGUCCUUAAAUUUCGCCUUCAUAUUUUGUCAUAAAUGGGCUCUCAAAUCUUUAUAAGAAAACAAAAUUUGCCUAGAUGCAUAAACAUUUAGGUAAAGUUGGAUUAGUGUAAUAUUUAUUCAAGCAUAAUUUUAAACACUGCAUCUGAAGUGCCAACAGUUGCAAGAAAUGUCACAAUUUCAGAGAUGUUAAAUUGAAAAAGUGAUGUCUUGGAAUCAAUGAAAUAUAAAUAUGGAUAUGUAUAAUCAGUUAUACAUAAAAAUUUGCUAUAGAGGAAUUAUAAAAGAAAAGGAAAAUUAUUUGAAAGAAUGUUAGCUAUAUCUCAGUGGUCUGCAUUGCAUAAAAUGGAGUUCUUGAGGUCAAUAUAAAUAAGGAUAGUUGUAAAUUAAAUAUUGAGUCAACAUAACAGAAUGCAAUCUGCACAUGAUUGAGCUCCCAUGUAACUAUAUUUCACUUGAUACUUUUAUGAAAACAUAUAUAUUCCAAAUCCUUCAAAAUGAAAAGAAGCUCAAACAGUUGUGAAAAUUUAGAAUUCUUAGAUUUUAAUGGGUCUGUCUUUGUUCAGGGGCAAAGACUCAAAUGAGCUUUAAGAUCAAUUAAAGAUGUCUGGAAAUGAAGAACUUCAUUAUACCAUUAAAUUCAGUUAUUUUUCACUAUUAGGCUUAUUAAGCUUGAAGCUUUAGGAAAUCUCUUGGGAAGAGUGAGUGGAAAAAACAGGAGUAAGAAAAGGAAGAAAAAGCCUUUGAGUCUAAUCUACUCUACCAGGUUCCAGGAAGAAUAUAAUUCUACAGAGAAAAUUCUUCAUAAUCUAUCAUAAUAUAUUUCAGUGUCUGAUGGCUGACUCUUGUCUUGCAUAAAGAUAUCUUCAGUGGAUAUUAAGUAAAUAUUAAAAAUAUAUUUCAGAUUCAUUCUUUGAAGGAUUGCAUCUCAUGCAUCCACAAAUUUUAAUGUUGAGUUUUGGAAAAUUGCCUCCAGAGAUAUCUACUGUGUUUAAUCUUAGAUUUUUUUUUUAUUUUAAUAAACCAAAGAUAAACUGAACAUUUAAGACAUAAUCAGAUUUUUAGUGAAUUUUUAAGUCCUCCAGAAAAGUCUAUGACUUAAUAAAUAUUAGCAAGUUUCCAAAAAUAUAACAAAUGUUUAUAAAUACGUGUGCACUGCAGUGCAAUGGUGUCCCCAGAGAAAUAAAAUGCAUAACAAAGCAAAUGUUAUGUUGUAGUGUAUGUAUGGCACAUUUAUAAAUCAUUACAUACUUUAGGGCACAAAAAUGCUGCAGUACUAAAAGUGUUGUUCAAGUUCUCAAUUCUGUUAACAAUUUAAAAUUUCAUUAAUUGUGUUUAAUAUCAAUGAAUCUCAAAAGGCUCCUGUGGCCAUAUUAGUUGAAAAUAGACUCUAUUUGCAUACAUUAUUUAACCUAAGAGUACCCUGUGUUCCCUUACCAUUUAAUUAAUUCUAACUAGUCAAAUAUUAAUUCUCAUCUCACAAAUCAUUACACAGGAAGAUAUCAAUUAUUCAAGUAAAAUACAAGCCCUACAAUCUUUAAAAAUUAGCUUUUUAAGUAAAAACAAAAAAGAUAAGCACAAGACUUUGCAAGCAUAACCACAAUCAUCGUCUAACACUGAGUUGCCUACAAGGAAGUUUGUCCCUUCCUAUGGUAACAGCCUUGGUCCACUAUAAAGUUAGUGCAAACAAGUGAGGGUAUAAAAAAAAUAUAAACUCUGGAUUUUUAAGGAUUUCAUUUUGUUAUACUCUUUUUGGAUAAUUCAUUCCAUACGGAAAUUUGUUUAUUGUUCAUAAAUAUCAUAAUGUUCAUUUCAAAAAUUGUCAUCAUCUUAAUGGCUAUCUUACACUUUUUUCUUUUGGAGGGUUGUCAGGCAUCCAUCCAUUUUCCUUUUUAAGAAGAACGUUAUGUGUAUUAGGCUACUAAACCCAAUUUUUACAUUAUUUUUAGUGAUCAAAGGUUUCUUAUACAAGUGACUCACAGUACUGAAUUAUGUCAAUCUCUCAUUUGAGGAAGGAAAUGCAGUUCAAGUUAGCAUUGAAAGUGCUUGGCUGUAGAGGACAUCUAACAGAGCUGCUGUGUUUAUUGGCUCCAGAACAACUUAUUAUAGGUUUUUCAGUUCUCUUUAGGGUAGAAUAUGAGAUGGGGUUAGUCUUCAUCAAAAUGCAGUAUCUAGUACUUUAACUCAAGUGCUGGAAGACAGCAAAUCUUGGAAGUUUAUUAUAAAAAAAAAGAUAUUUCGGAUAGAUUCCUUUGUUGUCAUGGGCAAAACUGUAUAUCCACACAGGACUGUUAGACUCCUAGCCAAUAAAAUCAGACUAAGUCCAUAGGGAUAAGGUAAGUGUAAAUAAAUUUCCAUUGGGGAAGACAGGGCUCAUGGCCCGUGUAUCAAGGUCUCAAGCUGAGCACUGGAGAACUCCAGGGAACACUGUUCAUACAGGCUAUGGUGCGAAGGAAUUCCCCUGUAGGUAUGCCAUACUUCAGUCUCUUAAGAAGCUGAUUAGCAUGAAAGACUGGAAGCUGAUUAUGGACAAUUCAGUUUGAAUUAUUCCUUUCUAUUUUGCUUUGAACUUUCCUCAUACACUUAAGACAUGAGUAAAUCACAUUGAAAAACAUUUGCCAAUUGAAUAUUUUAAAGAUUCAAGAGGUAGCAUGAUAUUGUGCAAUGAACACUGGCCUGACAAUGAGAAGAUAAAAACUCCUUUCCAAUGUGGCCACUUUAUCACUUGAGUGUUUUCUGAGAAAUCGUUUAAGUUUUCUGAGGCUCAGUUCCCUAACUCACUAAAAAGGAGAAUUAGCAGCCUGGCAUGGUGGCUCAUGCCUGUAAUCCCAACACUCUGGGAGGCCGAGGAGGGUAGAUCACCUGAGGUCAGGAGUUUGAGAUCAACCUGUCCAACAUGGCAAAACCCCGUCUCUACUAAAAAUACAAAAAUUAGCUGGGCACGGUGGUGGAUGCCUGUAAUCCCAGCUACUCAGGAGGCUGAGGCAGGAGAACUGCUUGAACCCGGGAGGCAGAGGUUGCAGUGAACCCUAAUUGCGCCAUUGCACUUCAGCCUGGGUGACAAGAGUGAAACUCCGUCUCAAAAAAAAAAAAAAAAAAAAAAAAAGCUUAUUUCUAAGAUAUCAUCUAUUCUCCAAUUUUGUACUUUUAUGAAUUCUGGCAAGAAGGGUUGGAGUGAUUCUGGGAAAGAACAUCCUUAGGCUGCCUUGAAGGGAGAAGAUAAUAUAGCUUUUCAUUUAAAAAAUGCUGAUAUCUACUUGCAAUCAAAAUCUAAGAAAACAUUCAAAAUGUGGUACUUUGCUUGAGGCAGAAUUUCUAACUAUCUUGUGAAUUAAUGAUAAGAUAAAUGAAAUGGCCAAACAAUCCCUUCAGUUUACCAGGUAAGAGGAUACAAAACUCCACACUUGUGCACAAUGAAGCUAUUCAGGUUUUGAUGAUACUUUACAGUGUCCCCUAUUAACAUUCAGCUUUUAAAACUAGUAUUCUGAUAAAGUGACAUUGUAUUAUUAGUUUUUUAUGGCAGUAGUAACUUAGCACUUAAUUAAUCCAGUCAUCUGUGACAUACAUAAACUUAUCCUGUAAAAAAGA